rnacentral:rRNA from 1 species
UACAGAGGUCCCAAGCGUUGUUCGGAUUCACUGGGCGUAAAGGGUGCGUAGGUGGCCGGGUAAGUUCGGUGUGAAAGCUCGGAGCUCAACUCCGAAAUGGCAUUGAAUACUAUCCGGCUUGAGGUUCGGAGGGGAGACUGGAAUUCUCGGUGUAGCAGUGAAAUGCGUAGAUAUCGAGAGGAACACCGGUGGCGAAGGCGAGUCUCUGGACGAAUCCUGACACUGAGGCACGAAAGCUAGGGGAGCAAACAGG